rnacentral:rRNA from 1 species
GAUGAACGCUAGCGGCAGGCUUAACACAUGCAAGUCGAGGGGUAUAGGUUUUCGGACCUAGAGACCGGCGCACGGGUGCGUAACGCGUAUGCAAUCUACCUUUUGCAGAGGGAUAGCCCAGAGAAAUUUGGAUUAAUACCUCAUAGUAUAACACAAUCGCAUGAUUGAGUUAUUAAAGUCACAACGGCAAAAGAUGAGCAUGCGUCCCAUUAGCUAGAUGGUAAGGUAACGGCUUACCAUGGCUACGAUGGGUAGGGGUCCUGAGAGGGAGAUCCCCCACACUGGUACUGAGACACGGACCAGACUCCUACGGGAGGAAGCAGUAAGGAAUAUAGGUCAAUGGACGCAAGUCUGAACCAGCCAUGCCGCGUGCAGGAUGACGGUCCUAUGGAUUGUAAACUGCUUUUGUACAGGAAGAAACACUCCUUCGUGAAGGAACUUGACGGUACUGUAAGAAUAAGGAUCGGCUAACUCCGUGCCAGCAGCCGCCGUAA